rnacentral:rRNA from 1 species
GGCCUAAGGUACCGUAACGUUUAAACUUUGAAUCAGGGCCUCGUAACUCCUUAACACGGUACCCUUAAAGUUUACAAUAUUUAGUUCAGUAAUAUAUCAACAACGUGCCCGGUAACGGGGGAUAACUACUCGUAAAGAGUGGCUAAUACCGCAUACGCCCUACGGGGGAAAGGGGGGGAUCGCAAGACCUCUCACUAUUGGAGCGGCCGAUAUCGGAUUAGCUAGUUGGUGGGGUAAAGGCUCACCAAGGCAACGAUCCGUAGCUGGUUUGAGAGGACGACCAGCCACACUGGGACUGAGACACGGCCCAGAYUCCUACGGGAGGCAGCAGUGGGGAAUUUUGGACAAUGGGGGAAACCCUGAUCCAGCCAUCCCGCGUGUAUGAUGAAGGCCUUCGGGUUGUAAAGUACUUUUGGCAGAGAAGAAAAGGUAUCCCCUAAUACGGGAUACUGCUGACGGUAUCUGCAGAAUAAGCACCGGCUAACUACGUGCCAGCAGCCGCGGUAAUACGUAGGGUGCAAGCGUUAAUCCGGAAUUACUGGGGCGUAAAGCGUGUGUAGGCGGUUCGGAAAGAAAGAUGUGAAAUCCCAGGGCUCAACCUUGGAACUGCAUUUUUAACUGCCGAGCUAGAGUAUGUCAGAGGGGGGUAGAAUUCCACGUGUAGCAGUGAAAUGCGUAGAUAUGUGGAGGAAUACCGAUGGCGAAGGCAGCCCCCUGGGAUAAUACUGACGCUCAGACACGAAAGCGUGGGGAGCAAACAGGAUUAGAUACCCUGGUAGUCCACGCCCUAAACGAUGUCAACUAGCUGUUGGGGCCGUUAGGCCUUAGUAGCGCAGCUAACGCGUGAAGUUGACCGCCUGGGGAGUACGGUCGCAAGAUUAAAACUCAAAGGAAUUGACGGGGACCCGCACAAGCGGUGGAUGAUGUGGAUUAAUUCGAUGCAACGCGAAAAACCUUACCUACCCUUGACAUGUCUGGAAAGCCGAAGAGAUUUGGCCSUGCUCGCAAGAGAACCGGAACACAGGUGCUGCAUGGCUGUCGUCAGCUCGUGUCGUGAGAUGUUGGGUUAAGUCCCGCAACGAGCGCAACCCUUGUCAUUAGUUGCUACGCAAGAGCACUCUAAUGAGACUGCCGGUGACAAACCGGAGGAAGGUGGGGAUGACGUCAAGUCCUCAUGGCCCUUAUGGGUAGGGCUUCACACGUCAUACAAUGGUCGGGACAGAGGGUCGCCAACCCGCGAGGGGGAGCCAAUCUCAGAAACCCGAUCGUAGUCCGGAUCGCAGUCUGCAACUCGACUGCGUGAAGUUGGAAUCGCUAGUAAUCGCGGAUCAGAAUGUCGCGGUUAAUAUUUUCCCGUGUCCCGUACACACCAACCAUGACACAGGUACCCUUUGGUUUUAGACAGGUUCAAGAAUUUGUAACAAGGUACCAGGUACGC